CCCAAUCCCAUUGUUCUAAGGUAAUAAAUCCUAUAAUUGCUGUAUCCUCAGAACCCAGCACGGGGCACUGCAUACGGUAGAUCUGCUUAACCAUGUACCAAAUGCAUCCGCCUCUUCCCCAACAUCCAUUACUACUGGAACCCACCAAGAACUGAAUUCCAUGGUACUUCUCAGGAUUCUUGAGGUCUGGACUAAGCCCUGGAUUGGGAAAGACGUGUUUAUGAUGCAGACCAGUUGGGGAGAUUUUUCUUGAAGGAGCAGCAGCUUGGGAAUAGCUGACCUGGUGAGAGCAUUCCUCUUCAUCUUGGCUCUGUCUGCUGUAGUUGGGGGUCUCCAGGGUCCGGAAUGCAGGGGGACUGGCUGUGAUUCUCCGUGGAAAAUGAAAUGUCACUGCCCUGUAACGAGUGUCCAGGAGGGGAGGGAGGAUGACAAGUAUCUCUAGCCUGGUGCCUGCAGGGGAGCUGCAUCUCCCGGCUCACAGGAGGCAGGAGAGUCCGUGUUUGGAGGCUUUGGCGUCAUCUUGGUGAGCUCCUCACCAGGGAGGUGGAGACUCUCCCAGACUCAGACAUCUGCGGCCUACUGGACACGUUCCCUUGGAACUGAUGCCCCAGUGAUUCUGCUGCCUCUGCCAGAGUCAGAAAACUGUGGAUGUGGGAAGCUGCCCGUGGAGUCAGGAAGUCAUCCCUACUGAUGGAGCCUCUGCAGCCACCUUGGUCCUGGUCCACACCAGCAAUGUUGAUGCUGCCCUGCAGCCUGCCUAUCCCCUGGCUUAAUUCCGGCUCCAUGCAUGUGACGAGCAGAAAAAAGAAAGUCGCAUCUGGACCUCCGGCGGCAAGGGAGUCUGAGAAAGAUAGAUCUGUGCAUGGUCAUCUUAACCCUCCUGUAUCCUUAAAGCCCAGCACCAGGUCAAGUAUGCAGUGGGCACUCAGUAGUUGCAUGUUAAGUGAAUCGAUGAUUCUAGAAAAGAAAAUUUUGUUUACUGGCUCUUCACCUUUAGCAGGAAGUAAAUUCUCAACGGGGCUUUGGCUCGGAAAGAAUAUGGACCUGAAUGCUUUUCUCUUCCCCUCUCCUGUCCCUCCCUCCUCACUUCUCCUUUCUCCUCUUCUCCUCUCCUCUUCUCUCCCUUCCUCUGUCCCUUUUUGUCCCUUUCCUCCUCCCUCCCUCCUUUCCCUCUCCCUCUGUGUCAGCUUCCACCACCAGGAAACCAGCUUCUCCUGAGAACACACAGGGGGACCCUUCAAACUCAGUGUACAACACAGCCUCUUGAAUUCUGUGCAUUGCCUCUUUUAAUUAAACCCCUCCUUUCAGGAAGUCUCUCAAGGCUAUAAGCUUAUCAGAUCCUGAUGAGCACGUCAUCAAAGCUCCAAUCUGGUAUUAAUGGGAAAUGGCCUUUCCCUUCAGGGAGGGCCAAGCUUCUGUCCUUGGGAACCACUGCAUUCUCCUUGCUGGGAGGACACGUGGAUUUCCCCUCAGUGCUCUCUAGGGUGCUGCAAGCUGGCAAAGUUCACCUGCCCUUUUCAAAAUAUGAAAUACAUGCCUAAUUUCCAACAUCAUUGUGUUCCAUUUUCCCUGAUAACACCUUAACAGGGGCUUUAAUAACUGCAUUCUGUGGAAAGAGACACUGGCGCUGUGCUGUUGGCUCUAGGUUGUGAGCUGGGGCCCUGGCUGUGAGCCCUUGGAGGAAUCCCUUUACCUCUCUAUUCCAGGUUAUUCAUGUUUAAAAUGAAGUUCCUUAACUGCUCUCAGUUCUUCCCAGAAUUCAUGUAAUGAGUUCUAAGUGUCAGUUCUGCUAGGUCUAGGGAGAGGGAUGAAGCCUCUACAUGAGCCAGCCUGUGUUGGUUGGGGCAGAGCCUAGAGAUCCCUGGUUCAGUGAGGCUCCUGCACUAGGGAAGGGACCUCUGAGCUCCUCUUCUCGUGCCAAGCCCAUCUCCGCUCAUCCCAUGCUGACUGCAAGAAUGGUGUUUGCUCAAUGGUCAGGGAAGUGGUGCCCAAGAGCAGGAACCUGGCUUCACUCUGUCUCUCCUCUGGGCAUCAAAGAGGCAGUACCUGCUAGGACCGUCUCUUCCUUUCUAAAAUCAGGAAGUAACAAAAGGCAGGCUGGGAUUGCCCAUAGAUACAGCUCCGUCUUUCUCUCUCUCUCCUGAAACAGCCUGCAGACAUUCCUGAGUUCUUGUGCUGAGAUUAGGUUCAUUGUCAAACCCAAACCCAUUUGUUUUAAAGCCAGUUGUGCAAAAAUAUAUUAAAAAGCAAACAUGCGCAAACCAGAAGCCAGGGUCGGGGUUAUUGAGUGUAGCUUCGAUAUUAAUAACAUGAAAUAGAGUUCCCAGUCUCCCAAUUUCCCAUCUGAAUGGAGCUCUUUCAAAGCCCAGGAAGGCAGAUGGGAUGCACAGGGCAGGAUGGGCCCCUUCCAGGGUUUCUCAGUCCAAUGCCAUCACAGAGGAACUUGAAUGUUAUUUCUGGCAGUGUGGACUGGCUUCACACAGAGAUGAGGUGGCAGACGAUGAGGGACUUCCUGGCCAUAUUAAUGUGUAGAAUGCCUCUAAGCCACACAGGUACAAAGUGAGGGUGGAAACAUUAUUUCUAGCCCUUGGAACUGAUAGAAAAAUACUCCUGACAAAGAAUACAGGGAAUACUGCUGGUGGGACUCAGUAUAAGGUCACUUUGCUGGAAAGUAACAGAGAAUAAAUAAAAUUGAUUGAGUGCCUAUUAUGUGCUUGAAAUCACUUUACAUGCUGGGGCCACAGCAGUUGUCAAAAUUGUUGGAAAUCUCUGCCCUCAUGGAGCUCAGAGUCUAGGGGAUUUUUAAAAAUCACAGGCUGGGCAGAUACUGAAGCUGGCUUUGGGGCCAUUCGGAACUAAAGACUUGAAUUCUAACAAGAUUUCUGUGAUUCAGUUUCUUGCUGUGUCUUGGAGUCAUUUCCUCCAAGCACCUUCUGUCUCUACCUCUGUCAAGAAGAGGACAAAAUAGCCACCAUCCACAUUCUUGUCCCCAGACUGAUGAAGAAGAUGAUAAAAGGGAGGCUUUAGUUGGUAAGCAGAAAGGCACCAUGUAAGUGACAGGCUUACAUCUUGUAUGAAAUCAAGUGGGCAAGAAAGCUUCUGCUCAGGUGGGUACAGCCCCAAGGAGGCUGAUAGGUGAGCACUCUUAGGAACAUGGGCUUGCAGACUUCCCAGUGAAUGCUUCCUUGGGCUGUCAUUUGAACCUAAGAAGAAAGCACAGUUCAAGAAAGAUGAACACAUGUAGCCAACCUGAACUGAAACCAAGAAGGAAAGGAUCAGUCAAAUAGCUGUCUCCUCUGGGCUUGGCUGCCUGUCCUUGGAGAUAAUACUGGCACGUAGCAAGAACUUCCACCUGCAGCAUCCACAGCACAUCUCCAUGGGCCUUAGCAAGAUGCUAUGCAACACGGCUCUUUUCCAGUAUCCUAAUUUUCUGUUCAUAACAUGUUGGGUCUUUGGGAAUCACCAUUAUAAUCAUCAUAAUGUGUUGGGUCUUUGGGAAUUACUGUCAUGAUCAUCAUCAUCACCACCACCACCACCACCAACAUCAGUUUUCCUGGUCUCAUCUUCAUGAUCCUGUUUCAUUUCUUACUACUUCAAACAUUCUUUUUUCCUUCCCUAUGCCUGGAACAUCCUCUGCUCAUUUCUAAUCCCAGAUCUUUGCUUCAGCUGUGGCUCCCUGCACUCCCUGCCUGGGGAAUGCCCCAUGUACCCCCUUUUUCUUGCUAAAAUAUUACACACCUUCAAGACCAUCUCAAGCCCCCCCUUUCAGGAAGCUCUCCUCUAUCUACUCAUGCCCUCCGGUACCUGAGUAUUUGCACAAUAUUAGAACUUAAACAUUCAUCAUUUUAGUCUACAUUCCAGCAACUCUGUAAGGUUGGAAUCAUUUCCUCCAUUUUAUCGAUGAGAUAACAGGUUCAGAGAGGCCGGGUAUUGCCCCAGGAGGAAGGAGCUGGAGCCCCCACAGCUGUGUCUAUUCUACUCUGCCUUGGUGUGCUUGCUUUCCCAGGAGCACACCAGAUGUUGAGAGCAGUAGUUCUCAAACUUCAGGGUGCAUGUACAUUACCAGGGACUGUUUGGCAGACGUUCUGGGGUGGGGAACAAACAUCUGUGUGUGGUUCACCAACGGUCCCUGGUGACUAUGGUUUUAUGGCUGGUCCUGUAGCCAUUUGAGAACCGUUGCCUUCAGAGGUGCACGUAGUCCCAUAACUGAAGAUGUGGCUCCCUGAGGCUCCUGGGAAGCCAACCGCCUCCCCAGACCUACAGAAUGGGAAUGGAAAUCUCCGGGUGUGGGGGUGGGGGCUGGAGGGGGUGGGCCUGGGAAUCUCUAGCUAAGAGCCUCAGGGGUUUUUUAUCAUCUGGCAAGUUUGGGAAAGCUGACUGAGAGUCAGGCCCAUCCAAUUAGCACUUAAUUGUAUCCUGCUUUAUCUUCUUCCCCAAUUAGUUCUUCUGCAUCAGUUAAGCUCCUUGGAGGCCCAGACAACAGCACUUAAUUCAGCAUUGCCCUGAGAGCUGGCAUGGUGCUGGCUAGGUGACUGGCAUUAUGGAAAACUGACUGCAUCUGCUUUAGGAAGAGAGGCAUGUCCAGAGUGGAAAUUCUGGAAGCUCCUUGCAAAACUAAUACCUGGGCUUCUGCACCUCCCCAGCUUGAUGUCUGCUCUUAUCCCUCAUCUCUGCAAAGCCAGGUGCUUCCUCUUGCUUAAAGACCAGCUCAAGGCUCUCUUAUUCCAAGAACUGACUCCAUUACCUCCAGCUAGAUAUAAGCCCAUGGGUCUGUGGAUCCUUCUGAUGUGAAUUUACCUGGAUUUCUGUUUUUCACGGACAGAGGGCUUCAGGAAAGCUCCUGGCCUGACAUGAUGCUAGGCACAUAGUAUUGCUCUUUCCUUCCUACAUCCUCUUCUAGGGAGGGCAUCUUAUCCACCUUGAACAUUCCUACCAUGGAAAACAGUGGCUUGCACAUAGCACAAGGUCAGUUAAUAUUUUGGAUUCCUACAUAAGUCUCAGAGAUGUUAAUAGGAAUUACCAUCUUGUUGCAAUGAAUGUGAGCAAGUAUGUGUUGUGCACAUAAAUUAUCCCACUCCCGCCAAAGGACUAUGUUACUCUUUUUCAAUUACCCAAGCAACUACUCCAGUGCCUUAUGCAUGAUUACCUUCUCUAAGUAUUUUCUUUCUAAAUUAAUACAAUUAUUAACUUCUCAGGGUGUGAACUGUAAAGGGGAAAAUGUGUGCUUCUCUGUUUAAAACAUUAGUAUCUUUAUUUUAAAUCUACUCCAGACUUGCCCAGACUCCUUCACUACUCAGAGUCUCUGAGCAUCGGCUUCCUUAACAUUCAAAAUGGAAAUGAUAAUAAAAACUUUGCACAUCUCUAAAAAUCUCUGAAAAAAAAAAUUUGUCACAUUGAACACAUAAAGCAAGCACUGGAUAAAUUGUAGCUGCAUGGUAUAGUACAGACAACUUGAGACAUAGAUGGAAGGCAGAGCCUAUAUUUUAUUCCUGCCAAACAAAAAUUAAAACAAAGGCAUUAUAAGAACCCAGUGUUGGUGACAUUUGUGAUGGAACAGGCACACUUAUUUUGGAGGCCUGUUUAGCAAUGCUUACCAGGAGUCAUAAAUAUUUUCAUAUACUUUUACCACCGCACAGCAGUUCUAAGAAUUACUACAGGAGAAUGAUUUUUAGAGAGGAACAAGUUAAAUAUAGGCAUCAGUGUAAUUUACAAAGGUGAAAACAAAAAGUAACCUAAAUGCACAUGAAUGGGAGCAAGGUUACAUAAAUUACAGUGCAACAAUGUAAUGGAAUAUCUCACAGCAAUUAAGAAGGCUAAAGACAAAUCCCAGGUAGAAACAUUUAGUGAUUGAAAAUAAUAAGUGUAAUGGUAAAACACAAUUUUAUGUAUACUUUGAUUAAAAUGAUUCAAAAUGAUAUAUUUACUUACAGCCGUGAAGAAAAGAAUAAAGACAUGAACAUGUUUGCUGUGUUAUAUUAGUGAAAUUAAAUUUAUUUUAUACAUGCUAUAUAUGUAUGUAUACAUGCAUGUGCGUAUGUAUGUAUACAUUUAUGUAAAUAUAUAGAUGCAUGAAUACACAUAUGUAUAUGUAAAUAUGUAUAUGUACAUAAAUGUGUAUGUACACUUAUAUAGGUGUAUAUGCAUGUACAUAUGUAUGUGUAUAUGUAUAUGUGUAUAUCUACAUAUGUAUAUGUGUAUAUAUACCUUUAUGUACAUAUAUAAAAAUAUUUUAAUUUUUAUUUUAAAUACUUUAUAUAAAAUUUACACACACAUCUAUAUCUAUAAAAGUAGAUAUAUGUAUAUAUCUGUAUACAGAUAUAUAUGUAUACAUAUAUACAUAUAUACACAUAUAUACAUAUAUACAUAUCUGUAUACAGAUAUAUAUACAUAUAUAUCUGUAUAUAUGUACAUAUAUACAUAUAUACAUAUAUAUGCAUACAUAUAUACAUAUAUGCACAUAUACACAUAUAUGUACAUAUAUGCAUAUAUAUACAUAUAUACAUAUAUACACACACAUAUAUAUAUACAUGUCUACUUUUGAAAAUCUUCCUAAUAGUUCUGCAAGGCAGGUUUUAGUACCUUGAGGAAACAGGUGACAAUAUUUUACUAAAUCACAUAUCUAACAAAAGUUAUCAUAAGCCUUCAAAUGAACCUUGGCCCACCGGCCCCCAAAUCUUUGCUUUUUAAAAUUAUUCACAAAUUGUUUUCCAAUGUGUGUACAUUUGAUGUUGGUUUCUUUUGAUAACUCAUUUCCAAUAAGACCUUAUUUUAUAUUACAACAAUGAAGAUAGAUAAAUAAAUACAUCAAAAUAUUUAUUAUGUGUACUACAUACAUUUUAUAAUUAAAAUGUGCUAGAUUGUUACCUUGUUAGCUCCAAUCAACCACCUCCCAGUAUUCACAGUUUUGUGUAGUCCCAUUUCACAUAGGCACUAGACUUGGCUAUGUGAUGUGAUGUGUUUUGGCCAAUGGGUCAUUGGCAAGCUUGAAAUAAGAACUUCAUAAGUACUUGUGAGUUAAGGUUUGUCCUGUUAGAAGCUAGUCACCAUGCUAUCAAGACACCCAAGCUAGCUGCAUGGAGAUGAUGCAGGAUUUUUCUUGAUCCCUUUGCCAGCUGGGGACCUCCAGCCAGCAAUGACCCUGCCCAGGCCUCACUUGAGCAUGCUACCUGUUGCAGGAGGUGGCCUGCCCACCCAGCCCACCUGGGCUGCACCUGAAUUGUGAACUGGCUUAGCCCGAAGCUGGGCUGGGCAUGCUCUAGCUCACCUGUGUUAUAGCUCAUACCUGUGUUCAGUGGUUCCUGAGUUCUUGUCCCGCGUCCAAGAAGAAUGAGGAUAUGCUGACAAUUGAAGGGUGAGGAGAGCAGAGAAGAAUUUUAUUGAGUGAUGGAACAGCUCUCAGCAGAGAGGGGAUGUGGGGGUAGUCCCCCACCUGAAGUUGGGUGGUUUCUCUUCCAGUGUAGCUGAAUCUGAGGCUUUUAUGGACUCAGAAUAGGGGAGUGCAUGCUGAUUGGUUUGUGAAUAUGCAAAAAUGGUUAAAACAAAGGCACCACUCAAAUGUGGGCAUGACAGUGUAAAUAAACCAAUUAGGGAAGGGUAGGUAUAUGUAAAAUAGGUGAAGGGUGAGGAUCAAUCAGAGGAAAGCAUGCCCAACAGGAAGAUAGAUUCUCAGUCUGGUCUGUGGAUUUGACUUGUAGUUAGGCUUAAACUGUCUUUGGCUUGGAGAUGGGGUUUCACCAGGGACACGCCCCUAUCUGCCUAUGCAUUUGUCUGCCUCCUGCCACUAUCAGAGAGGCCACAGAGAAGAGAAUUGAGGCUUCCCAGAAAAGAGCCCUGAUGAGGUCCCCGCUCACAAUAUGGAGAGAUCGUUUAGGAUUACCAGCCCCUUUGAAGCCUCCAGAAAAUCACAGCUCUGUUAGUAAUUUUUGUGGACUCCAUGCAAAGAAAAGAAUCAUUUAAUGAGCCCAGUCAACCCAUAGAAUCAUGAGAAAUAAUAAAUCUUUGUAGUUUCAAAGCGCUAAGUUUUGGGAUGGUUUGUUAAACAGCAAGAGAUGACCAAUAUAUCAGACCUGAAAAAUUUAAAGCACCAGGAAAAUUUUAAAGUACCAGGAAAAUUUUAAAGUACCAUCCUAGCACAUAGUAGAUGCUUAAUUAAAAUGUCUAUGAAGAAGAAGGGGUCAAUUCUGUCACUUGGCAUUCAGAUUCCCUUUUUGCUCACUAUAGCCUUCCACUUUAAGAAGAGAACCAACAUCCCUGUUGAACUGGAUUCAUCUGCAAACCAGGCCAGCAAUCCUGGCUCAGGCAGGCCUUCCAGGAGGGCAAACUGUAUAGUUCUAUAGCAAAGGGGGCAUUGUCCUUUCUGAAAUGCCAGAUCCUUUAUAAGCUGGAGAGUUACAGUCACUGUUUGGUAAUUGCCCUGCCCCCUGCUAGUGCUUCCAUUCUUGGCUCUUAUAAUAAAGUUCAGUCUCAUGCUCAUUUUUUAUCUUCCUAAAUGGGGCCUGCCAUGGAGCAGCCAUUUGUAUUACGAUCUUAGGCAACCAUGACUGUUCCCAGCCACAGCAUCCCUAAUGCCACUGCCUUAGUUCAGACCCGUAUCAUUUCUCCCCUGGAUAAUUACAACAGCCCCUAACAAGUCUCCUAGCAUUUUGGCAUACACUCCUCUAUUCCAUUCUCUGUAGCAGGCAGUAGGCCAUUUCUAAAGUACAAACUAAAUCAUUUCACCAUGCUUUUUAAAACCUUCCAAUAGGCUCCCCAUUGCCUCAAAGCAAAAUUUCUCAGACUGGAUUAAUGAGUGAGUGUUCCACAGGGUGUGGGCUAGGAAUGAGAAUAUAGUUUAACACAUUUGGGAAACCCUGGGUUAAACAUGGUUAACCAGGUAUUUUUGUGUGUUUGUUACAGGAUUUCUCAGAGCCUUUAAUAUGCUGAUGCAAAUUGUGAAUCUUAUCACAAGAGUGAUAUAAAAUCAACAUUUACCAAACUUGCUUUCUUGGCAGACUAUCUUUGGUUCCACUGAGUUGCAGUUUAGAAUUUUUCAAGUAUUUCCAAGUCCCUUAGUCUGGUAGACAAGUUUCUUCAUAAUCUGACCCCUGCUUAUUUCUUCAGCACAAGUCUCUACAUUUCUCCCAGGUCCUUGCUUCUUGACAAUUUGGUUCCUAUGUACCUGCUUUCCUUUAUCUAAAGUCAACCAUCCUGUUCUUUCAUAGCCCUGGUUAAUUCUUAUUCAUCCUUUGAAUCUCAGGUCAGUCUUCUCUCCUCUGGGAAAUCUUAUCCUAUCCCCACCAUACCUCAUCCCACCCCACCCUCCCUUGGGCUGAGUUAUACAUUCACCCUAUGACAUCCCAUGCUUUUUCCUAUUAUAUUAACUUUCACACAACCUUAGAGUUUCCUGCUUGUCUCUCCUUGUAGAUUGCAUGUUCCUUUGGGCAGGGCUGUCAGCAGGGCACUUAGUGUGCAUUCAGUAAGUGUUUCUUGAGUAAAUGAGUACUGAGAAAUAGAAUGCAUUUUGUGAAAACAGUUGUUGACUAAGAAUUUUCUGAAUGCAGUCACACUGAUAGUAGAUACCUUUUCAGGUGCCAAUCCAUCUAUGGUGUAAACAUGUCUCUUAUACUGACCAUACUCUACAGGUGUUCUCUGUGAUACUAUCUCCUGGGACCAUUUAAAUUCACAUGAAGAAAACUGAGCCGACCUGACUCAUUCUCUGAGGAUUCGAACUUAGGAAUUGUUAGAAGUUUAUUCAAACUGCAGAAUCAUAAACUGCAGAGCUCUGGUGGCCGUUUUGUGUAUGAGUAAAUGGGAGCGAUGGAAGCAGUUCUGUAGAAAGAGAGGGAGAGAAGUGAAGGGCAUUGGGCUACAGAUGUUCCUCGAUGUCCCAAUAAACCCAUCAUAGAGUUGCAUGAUGUUGAAAAUAUUCUAAGUCACAAAUACAUUUAAUACACCUAACCUACUGAACAUCAUAACUUAGCGUGCCUUCAGUGUGCUCAGAACACUUAGAUUAGCUUACAUUUGGGCAAAAUCAUCUAUUUAACACAAAGCCUAUUUUAUAAUAAAAUAUUGAAUAGCUCAUGUAAUUUAUUGAAAACUAUACUAAAAGUGAAAAACAGAAUGGUUGCAUGGGUACCUGAAAUAUGGUUUCUACCAAAUGUGUAUUGCCUUUGCAACCAUCUUAAGUCAAACCAUCAUAAGCUGGGAACUGUCUGUAUUUAGAAAAAAGCAAAGAUGGAGAGGUAUUCCUAACCCCCUGGGUUCCUAAUUUCUCACAGAUUUCUCAUUUCAGCACUAGCUGAGGUCUGGCUAUCAGCCUGUCACAGAGUUAGGAGUAUGUCAUCACAGUGAUUUUUCUUUCCCCUCCUCCAGCCUAUUUGAAGGAGGCCCUGUUAUGUGUUACCAAUAGGGUCUUUACUAAGCAAUGUCUAGUUUUUUUCCUUGAAAAACUUGAAAUGUGAAUGGCUCUCUCAACAUGCUUCUCUUUGUAACAGCCACAUUGUGAAUAUUAAUGGCAGUACUUAAGCAGGUCGAUUGUGCACUGAGAAUAUGAAAUAUGCAUGUCACUUAAAAACAAAUGAUUGUCCAUACAGUGCUUGGGCUGAAUUAUUCUCCCUCAGGUUGUCACACCUGAUGCAGAGGGAAGCUAAGGCAAUGCAUCUGUGCCAGACUUUAUAGAUCCCAAGGUCAGGAUCAAAAUGUGCAGAUUCAGGAAGAUGCUUUUUCACUAAUGAUUUGUUACCGUUAACUUGACGCACUGGGUGGAUUUAUAUAGAGAAAAAUGUUAAUAAAAUGUUCUUCGAGCUACAUUUCUGCUUUGCUGAGUUGUCAUUCCAUUAAGCAAAUUUGAGGCAAUGUAAUUGCUAUAAGAUUCUACAUAUUUGCAAAUGAAUUUGUGAGUUUAUUUGGGAAAUGAAUGGGUUUUAACUUGGCUUGUUGGACUAAUUUUAUUUUGCUGUUUCCAGGAGAUGUCCUAGCGAG
rnacentral:lncRNA from 1 species